rnacentral:sRNA from 5 species
UAACAUCAAACUCAGAUGUUGAGCGUGAAGGAUAACGUUGCGUCAGCAACGGCCCGUAGGGCGAGGCGAAGCCGAGUCAUCCUGCACGACCCACCA